ensembl:snRNA U2 U2 spliceosomal RNA
AUCACUUCUCAGCCUUUUGGCUGAGAUCAAGUGUAGUAUCUGUUCUUAUCAGUUUAAAAUUCUAAGGCACUCAUGUGUGAUCUACCUUUAUGGUGAAACAAAAGGUUUUCCUUUUAAUUUGGCAAGUAAUAAGCUCUU